UUAAUUGAAACCAAAUCAGAGGUAUACCACUGUUAAUGGUAAAAUUGAAUAAAAAUUCCAAUUAAU
rnacentral:tRNA from 1 species